rnacentral:rRNA from 1 species
AGUCACUGACAUUAGAUACCCGUGUAGUCCAGGGUGUAAACGCUGCAGACUUGGUGUUGGAGCCCGUUUGGGGGCAUUCAGUGCCGGAGAGAAGUUGUUAAGUCUGCUACGUUGGGAGUACGUCCGCAAGGAUGAAACUUAAAGGAAUUGGCGGGGGAGCACCGCAACGGGAGGAGCGUGCGGUUUAAUUGGAUUCAACACCGUAAACUCACCAGGGAAGACUGUUACAUGAAGGCCGAGAUGAAGACUCUGCUAGAUUUUCAG